ACUGGUCCAACAUGGUGAAGAGAGAGCCGAGUCAAAAAGCGAAGCUCUCGAUUUACCAGUCGAUCUAUGUUCCCACUCUCAUCUAUGGUCAUGAGCUUUGGGUCAUGACCGAAAAAACGAGAUCACGCCUACAAGCGGCCAAAAUGGGUUUUCUCCGUAGGGUGUCUGGGCUCUCCCUUAGAGAUAGGGUAAGAAGCUUGGUCAUCCGGGAGGGACUCAGAGUAGAGCCACUGCUCCUUCACGUCGAGAGGAGCCAGCUGAGGUGAGGAUGCCUCCUGGUUGCCUCCUUGGGGAGGUGUUUCGGGCACAUCCCACCGGGAGGAGGCCCCGGGGAAGACCCAGGACACACUGGAGGGACCUUGUUUCUCGGCUGGCCUGGGAACACCUUGGGAUUCCCCCAGAAAAGCUGGAACAAGUGGCUGGGGAGAGGAAAGUCUGGGCCUCCCUUCUUAAGCUGCUAACCCUGCGACCUGACCCCGGCUAAGCGGAAGAAAAUGGAUGGAUGGUAUAUAAUGUUAGCAAACUUUACCAUCAAACAAGUGCUGUGAGCCAUUUACCUCAGAAGCUGGAGCUCAGAUCAAACCCUGUUUCAUUUGUAGG